rnacentral:rRNA from 1 species
GACAGAGGUGCCGAGCGUUAGGCGGAAUCACUGGGCUUAAAGCGUGUGUAGGCGGGUCGUUAAGUGUCUUGUGAAAUCCCACCGCUCAACGGUGGAACCGCUGGGCAUACUGGCGAUCUUGAGCAGUCCAGGGGCGAGCGGAACAAGCGGUGGAGCGGUGAAAUGCGUAGAUAUCGUGAGGAACACCAGAGGCGAAGGCGGUUACCUGGACAGUUACUGACGCUCAGGCACGAAAGCAUGGGGAGCAAACAGG